CAAAGAGUAGUUUAAUUUAAAAUGCCGGCUUUGGGGGUCGGAGAUGGGUGUUCCUUCUUUGA
rnacentral:tRNA from 1 species